rnacentral:lncRNA from 1 species
CCACCUUGGUCUCUGAAUCUCGGGUUCGAUCCUUCUUUAUAGAUAAAAUAAAGUAAGGAAUAUUCAUGUCUAGAUGGGAAGAAAAGGCCUAAUUUCACCCAGCCACUUACUUUUUGGGACAAAUAAAGUAUCUGCCAGUCUUACUCGAGGAUCUUCUUGAGGGAUUCGAUGCAGGGGUGGUAUAAUCCCAUAGCUUCCUUGUUUAUUCAUGUCUAGAUGGGAAGAAAAGGCCUAAUUUCACCCAACCACUUAUUCUUUGGGACAAAUAAAGUAUCUGCCAGUCUUACUCGAGGAUCUUCUUGAGGGAUUCGAUGCAGGGGUGGUAUAAUCCCAUAGCUUCCUUGU